AAAGUCGUAACAAGGUUUCCGUAGGUGA
rnacentral:ncRNA from 3 species